ACCGCUGUAGCUCAUUGGAUAGAGCAUCCCUCUCACUAAGGGAAUUGUAGCGGGUUCGAAUCCCGUCAGCGGUAC
rnacentral:tRNA from 2 species